rnacentral:lncRNA from 1 species
AGAUGUGUGAGAGUCCUCAGUCCUGCCCUCCUGCCCUGAGCUGGCAUCUCUCCCAGAGGCAGCUUCCGCAGGGCCCCUCCUUCCAUCUUGAAGUGGUUGAGCCAGUGCUCAAACGUUCAAGAGACACAAGGGAACUCAUGUGUUAAUCUUCCUGCUUUACCGUGUGUUCCUGGCCUUGGUUUUGUUUUUGUUUUUUUUUUUUUUUUUAGAAGUCCCACAGAGGCCCCCCCUGUCUCCUCCCAUCAGGCAGCCCUAUCUGCCACCUGUCUCUUCUGGGCCCCUGGGCUGAGUCAUCUGCGGACACCUCAGGAGCAGACACCCAGGGGCUACUCCAGGCCUUAGCUCACAGACAGGUUGGGUACGGCCUGAUGGCUGGAGUUGACAGACAGUGGAGCUCAAGGGGUAGCGCUGAGUGGGCCUCUCUACAGCUGACUGCACAGGAAAGCACAUGACUCAAGCCUACCCCACUCUGUGCUCAGAGCCUGGCCCUCCUCACUACAGUGCUGUAAGGAGCCCAGGGAAGGGUUACAACCCGUGUCUAAAGACUGUCUGAGGUGCUCUGCCCAAUCAGGGCUGCAUCAGUGACCCAGGCAGAGACUGCAGGGGAGUCCUCUGUGCCCUGGCUGGCCUGCCCAACACCCUUUACACCCAAUGUGUGUGUGUGCCAGGGCUGAGCUUCCUUGCAGGCUCGCCCACUACCCCAGUGCAUUUGUGCCCCAAAUAAGUCUUUGUCCAAGAACAGCACAUGCCAACUGUCGGACACUGUCACUUGGGCCUCCCCAGUUGUCACAGAAUGGCAACGCUGUAGCUAUUGUAUGAUAUUGUGUACACAGAAGUUCUGAGGAGCGUGAGGAGGGUACGCUCCUCUCUCCACGGCACCUGGCCUGCUUGGAAGGCGCGCAAGCUUUAGGGCUGGCACGCCAGCACCCAUCUCCUCCCUGUUACGCUUAGGAAAUGCAUUGAGGACCAUUACAGAAAACACCCCACCCAACCCCACCUGAGGAAGUGAUACACCCCAGCUCAGUGUGCCAGCCACACCAGUCACUGGGCUGUAUGGAAGUGGUGCCCAGAGCAAGCCCUGCUCUCACUGAAGAUGGUGGCCGCUGCUUGGGACCACCCCAGCGGCCUCAAGAAUCCUGACUCCGUUCGUUCUCCAGAAGGCAGGAGCCUCUGAAUUUUAAAGUGGGUUUUCAUUCCAGUACCUUCAAAUCCGUGGUUCCCCUCAAUUCUCUGCCCUUGAGAGGACUUGGGAUUCUGUCAGCUACCUCCCCAGGAGGGUUCUGGAAGCAUCUGUUGGCCCAUUCCUUGAUUAGAUGACAGCUGUGAGUGAGAUAUCUGCUGCUAACUCAGCUGCUUCUCCUAGAGAGCACACUGAGGUCCAGACAGAUCCCAACCUUGGCCCUGAACAAUGUGUGCUGUAAAGUUACUUGAUGUAUAUUUAUUAUAAUUAUUUAUGAUUGCAUUAACAGACUUCCCAUUCAGUCUGAUGCUAUUUACACUAGUCACCUCCUCUGACUGAUGGACCUAAGAGAGUGUGGUCACCUCCUCUGACUGACUGACCUAAGAGUCUGUGGUCACCUCCUCUGACUGACGGACCUAAGAGAGUGUGGUCACCUCCUCUGACUGAUGGACCUAAGAGUGUGUGGUCACCUCCUCUGACUGACUGACCUAAGAGUCUGUGGUCACCUCCUCUGACUGAUGGACCUAAGAGAGUGUGGUUACCUCCUCUUCUGGCACUGCUAGGUGACUCUUGACACCCAAGUGUCCCAAGUGCCUAGGAAUUAACAUCUGCACUCUCUGCACUCCAUUAGCUUUUGAACUGCAUUCCUCCUGUUCCAGGGUGCCACCCACUCUGUCCUGACAGUUACUCUGUGCUCUAUAGAGCCUGGGGUUUUCCAGAGCCAGCUGUCACCCUAGAUGAGUAUGGAUGUUCCCAAACAGUCCUUCUGGGGCAGCAGUACAUCUAGACCUGCUUGAACAGCAACCACCCACCCCAGGGACCCCCCUGUUGUCUCAGGGACACCAACAUCAUUCUGACUUGCUUGACCCCUCCCACUGCUGCAUGGUCAUCCUCACCCGGACUCCUAAACACAGCUUCAUCACAGGAACAGAAGGGACCCAACCAACCAGCUCUCCUUCCUCAUCCUAUUGCUCGAAACACCACUCACUCAUUGCUCUGUUCAUCAAGGCCUCCCCGCUGUGCAGCACUUUCAGAAGGCUCCUCAGCCUGUGUUCCCCUUGGCAGAGGAGCCUGGUCUACGCAUAGUGAGUUCCAGGACAGCCAGGGCUACACAGACCCUGUCUCC